rnacentral:rRNA from 1 species
GACGAACGCUGGCGGCGCGCCUAACACAUGCAAGUCGAGCGAGAACCAGAGCUUCGGCUCUGGGGAAAGCGGCGAACGGGUGAGUAACACGUGGGUAACCUGCCCUCGGCACCGGGAUAGCCCGGGGAAACUCGGAUUAAUACCGGACAGCCUCACAAGCCCUCGGGCGAGUGAGAAAAGGUGGCUUCGGCUUCCGGCUGAGGAUGGGCCCGCGGCCGAUUAGCUUGUUGGUGGGGUAAUGGCUCACCAAGGCUCCGAUCGGGAGCUGGUCUGGGAGGACGAUCGGCCACACUGGAACUGAGACACGGCCCAGACUCCUACGGGAGGCAGCAGUGGGGAGUCUUGCGCAAUGGGCGAAAGCCUGACGCAGCGACGCCGCGUGCGUGAAGAAGGCCUUCGGGUUGUAAACCGCUUUCAGGAGGGACGAGGCCACUCAGGUUAAUAGCCGAGAGGGUGACGGUACCUCCAGAAGAAGCCCCGGCUAACUACGUGCCAGCAGCCGCGGUAACAC